rnacentral:rRNA from 1 species
UACGGCUCAGUAACAUGUGGCUAACCUACCCUUAGGACGGGGACAACCCCGGGAAACUGGGGCUAAUACCCGAUAGGUGAGGAGGCCUGGAAUGGUUCCUAGUCGAAAAGGCGUUGAAACCAUGCUUUUCGACGUCGCCUAAGGAUGGGGCCGCGCCCGAUCAGGUUGUUGGUGGGGUAACGGCUCACCAAGCCUAUAACCGGUACGGGCCGUGAGAGCGGGAGCCCGGAGAUGGGCACUGAGACAAGGGCCCAGGCCCUACGGGGCGCAGCAGUCGCGAAAACUCCGCAAUGCGCGAAAGCGUGACGGGGCUACCCCGAGUGCCGUCCGCUGAGGAUGGCUUUUCCCCGGUGUAAUGAGCCGGGGGAAUAAGGAGAGGGCAAGUCUGGUGUCAGCCGCCGCGGUAAUACCAGCUCUCCGAGUGGUAGGGAUGAUUAUUGGGCUUAAAGCGUCCGUAGCCGGCUUAGCAAGUCUCCUGUUAAAUUCAGCGACCUAAUCGUUGAGCCGCGGGAGAUACUACUAGGCUAGGAGGCGGGAGAGGCCGACGGUAUUCUCGGGGUAGGGGUGAAAUCCUAUAAUCCCGGGAGGACCACCAGUGGCGAAGGCUGUCGGCUAGAACGCGCUCGACGGUGAGGGACGAAAGCUGGGGGAGCGAACCGGAUUAGAUACCCGGGUAGUCCCAGCUGUAAACGAUGCGGGCUAGGUGUUGGGGUGGCUACGAGCCACUUCAGUGCCGCAGGGAAGCCAUUAAGCCCGCCGCCUGGGGAGUACGGCCGCAAGGCUGAAACUUAA